rnacentral:rRNA from 1 species
UAAUGAUGGCCAGGCUGUCUCCACCCGAGACUCAGUGAAAUUGAACUCGCUGUGAAGAUGCAGUGUACCCGCGGCAAGACGGAAAGACCCCGUGAACCUUUACUAUAGCUUGACACUGAACAUUGAGCCUUGAUGUGUAGGAUAGGUGGGAGGCUUUGAAGUGUGGACGCCAGUCUGCAUGGAGCCGGCCUUGAAAUACCACCCUUUAAUGUUUGAUGUUCUAACGUGGACCCGUGAUCCGGGUUGCGGACAGUGUCUGGUGGGUAGUUUGACUGGGGCGGUCUCCUCCUAAAGAGUAACGGAGGAGCACGAAGGUUGGCUAAUCCUGGUCGGACAUCAGGAGGUUAGUGCAAUGGCAUAAGCCAGCUUGACUGCGAGCGUGACGGCGCGAGCAGGUGCGAAAGCAGGUCAUAGUGAUCCGGUGGUUCUGAAUGGAAGGGCCAUCGCUCAACGGAUAAAAGGUACUCCGGGGAUAACAGGCUGAUACCGCCCAAGAGUUCAUAUCGACGGCGGUGUUUGGCACCUCGAUGUCGGCUCAUCACAUCCUGGGGCUGAAGUAGGUCCCAAGGGUAUGGCUGUUCGCCAUUUAAAGUGGUACGCGAGCUGGGUUUAGAACGUCGUGAGACAGUUCGGUCCCUAUCUGCCGUGGGCGCUGGAGAACUGAGGGGGGCUGCUCCUAGUACGAGAGGACCGGAGUGGACGCAUCACUGGUGUUCGGGUUGUCAUGCCAAUGGCACUGCCCGGUAGCUAAAUGCGGAAGAGAUAAGUGCUGAAAGCAUCUAAGCACGAAACUUGCCCCGAGAUGAGUUCUCCCUGAGACUUAGAGUCUCCUGAAGGAACGUUGAAGA